rnacentral:rRNA from 1 species
UACGAAGGGAGCUAGCGUUACUCGGAAUUAUUGGGCGUAAAGCGUGCGUAGGCUGUUUUGUAAGUCAGAAGUGAAAUCCUGGGGCUCAACCUCAGAACUGCUUUUGAUACUGCAAGACUAGAGUGUGUGAGGGGAUGGCGGAAUUCCUAGUGUAGUAGUGAAAUACGUAGAUAUUAGGGGGAACACCGGUGGCGAAGGCGGCCAUCUGGCACACAACUGACGCUGUUGCACGAAAGCGUGGGGAGCAAACAGG